GGCGGACGGGUGAGUAAUAUAUAGGUAAUGUGCCCUAGAGAAGAGGAUAACAGUUGGGAACGACUGCUAAUACUCUAUAUGCCUUUAAGACAAAAGUCUGCAAGGGAAAUAUUUAUAGCUCUAGGAUCGGCCUGUACGGUAUCAGCUAGUUGGUGAGGUAAUGGCUCACCAAGGCAAUGACGCCUAACUGGUUUGAGAGGAUGAUCAGUCACACUGGAACUGAGACACGGUCCAGACUCCUACGGGAGGCAGCAGUGGGGAAUAUUGCACAAUGGGGGAAACCCUGAUGCAGCAACGCCGCGUGGAGGAUGACACAUUUCGGUGCGUAAACUCCUUUUAUAUAGGAAGAUAAUGACGGUACUAUAUGAAUAAGCGCCGGCUAACUCCGUGCCAGCAGCCGCGGUAAUACGGAGGGCGCAAGCGUUACUCGGAAUCACUGGGCGUAAAGAGCGUGUAGGCGGGUUAAUAAGUUUGAAGUGAAAUCCUAUGGCUCAACCAUAGAACUGCUUUGAAAACUGUUAACCUAGAAUAUGGGAGAGGUAGAUGGAAUUUCUGGUGUAGGGGUAAAAUCCGUAGAGAUCAGAAGGAAUACCGAUUGCGAAGGCGAUCUACUGGAACAUUAUUGACGCUGAGACGCGAAAGCGUGGGGAGCAAACAGGAUUAGAUACCCUGGUAGUCCACGCCCUAAACGAUGUUCACUAGUUGUUGUGAGGCUAGACCUUGCAGUAAUGCAGUAAACACAUUAAG
rnacentral:rRNA from 1 species